GCACUCGAGUGCACAUCUGCUGGCCAGUUUGCCCAAUGUUGGAGUGUGCUGGGUUCCACUGUGGAAGGAAACACAGCCCACUGCCAAAGAGGUGUAUUUCCUGGGCCAAACUGAAAGUUUAGGACCUUGCUUUUUGUUUUGUUUUGUUUUGUUUUUAUUUCUCUUCCUUUUGUAUAAAGCAUGUAAGAAAGAACACUUCUAUUUUUUUUUUUCUUUUUGAGGCAGAAUCUCACAGAAUCUUCCUGCCUCUGCCUCCUAAGUGCUGAAUGGAAGGUAUAUGCUACCACACCUGGCCAAUAACACUUACUUAUUUUAAAAAAGUAAGUUAUAGAUGAACUUUCAAAGCAUAUUACUAAAGAUAGUAGGAAAUUGUUCCUACAGCUCUUUUUCUUACUUUGCUUGUUUUUUUAUUUUUAUUUUUCUUCUGAUGUCUGGUCUAGCAAUGUGGAAAUAGGUAGUAAGGACAUAAAUAAGUGGCUGGGUAAAUAAGUUUCCCAGUAGGAAUGGGUGUCAUAAAGCAGAGGAGACAGUGAAGGGAUGAGGGGUACCGCAGUUUCUUUAGUUCACAUAAAUACCAAAGUACACCUGGGUAGAGGCCAAAAAACAAACAGGAAGUCUUGAAAGAAGCCUCAGAGAAACAGGGAACUACAGAGACACAGACAGUAAUAUCACAUAGGAUUUCUCUUCAGAAACCAUGUUAUCAAGAAGAGACAAGUUGUGCACUCAGAGUGAUGAAAGAAAAUACUACCCAGAAUUCUCCACCUAUGGAAAUAACCCUUCAAAAGUAGAGAGUUCCUCAACCAAAUGGCAACAGUGUUUGAGAGAAUUCGUGGCCCAUAGCUUAUCUUGCAUUUAAUGUUAAAUCCUUCCAAUAGAAGGGGAAAAUAGGGGGCACUUUGUCAGUAGAGUGCUUGUUACAUAAACAUGGGGACCUAAGUUCAGCAUGAUAGAGACAGGAGGCUCUCUGGAGCUCCCUGGGUAACCAGCAUGGCUGAGUCAUCGAGCUGCAGGGUCUGUGAGAGACUCUGUUUCAAAACAAAACUGUGAGAGAGAAAGUGAGUGCUGACGGCAUACAUUGGCCUCUGGCCUUCAUACCCAAACACCACUGCAUACACAAGAAGAUACAUGGCGUCUCGAUAAAAACAAGAGCUUUAAAGAAGGAAUCAGUGAAGGUAAAAUGAAAUGCACACUAUGUUCCUCAUAAUAAUAGCAACAAUAAUUCUAAGAGAUAGAUAGCAACAGUAAUGUAAGGAUUGAGCCCAGGGAUUGGGAAUGGUCCCUGUACUACCUAAGAAGGGGACAUUUUGGCUAGUUAUAAAAGCAUUUAAAACUUGGGGCAACCUCUAAAAAGUGUUUAAAAUAUGAAUUGUAAUUGAUAUGAUAAAUGAGAAGAAAAAUAGAAUCAUAAAAAUAGUCAGAUAAAAUCAUAGAAGACAAAAGU
rnacentral:lncRNA from 1 species